GACAGAGGUCCCGAGCGUUAGACGGAAUCACUGGGCUUAAAGCGUGUGUAGGCGGAUCUGUAAGUACCUUGUGAAAUCCCAUAGCUUAACUAUGGAACUGCUUGGUAUACUGCGGGUCUUGAGCCACUUAGGGGCAACCGGAACAAAUGGUGGAGCGGUGAAAUGCGUAGAGAUGUGGAGGAACACCGAUGGCGAAGGCAGCCCCCUGGGUCAAGACUGACGCUCAUGCACGAAAGCGUGGGGAGCAGACAGG
rnacentral:rRNA from 1 species